rnacentral:rRNA from 1 species
GGAUUAGUGGCGAACGGGUGAGUAACACGUGAGUAACCUGCCCUUGACUCUGGGAUAAGCGCUAGAAAUGGCGUCUAAUACCGGAUACGAGCUUCAGCCGCAUGGCUAGGAGUUGGAAAGAAUUUUGGUCAAGGAUGGACUCGCGGCCUAUCAGCUAGUUGGUGAGGUAAUGGCUCACCAAGGCGACGACGGGUAGCCGGCCUGAGAGGGUGACCGGCCACACUGGGACUGAGACACGGCCCAGACUCCUACGGGAGGCAGCAGUGGGGAAUAUUGCACAAUGGGCGAAAGCCUGAUGCAGCAACGCCGCGUGAGGGAUGACGGCCUUCGGGUUGUAAACCUCUUUUAGUAGGGAAGAAGCGAAAGUGACGGUACCUGCAGAAAAAGCACCGGCUAACUACGUGCCAGCAGCCGCGGUAAUACGUAGGGUGCAAGCGUUGUCCGGAAUUAUUGGGCGUAAAGAGCUCGUAGGCGGUUUGUCGCGUCUGCUGUGAAAUCUGGGGGCUCAACCCCCAGCCUGCAGUGGGUACGGGCAGACUAGAGUGCGGUAGGGGAGAUUGGAAUUCCUGGUGUAGCGGUGGAAUGCGCAGAUAUCAGGAGGAACACCGAUGGCGAAGGCAGAUCUCUGGGCCGUAACUGACGCUGAGGAGCGAAAGCAUGGGGAGCGAACAGGAUUAGAUACCCUGGUAGUCCAUGCCGUAAACGUUGGGAACUAGAUGUGGGGGCCAUUCCACGGUCUCCGUGUCGCAGCUAACGCAUUAAGUUCCCCGCCU